rnacentral:sRNA from 1 species
AGGAGGAGGAGGAGCCUGGAGCUGCCUUUAUCUUUGUAAGAGCCUAGCAGAUUGGAAUAUUUGUUAUGUUAAGGCCAUGCAGGCUUAACGAAGCGUCAAGUUCUUUGCUGGAAUUUUAACCAGAACCAGCCCUGUUAACAAUCCUGCCCAGCGGCUGGGAGCCUGACUGUGUGGAAGAAAGAGCACUGGGCCAAGAGUUCAAAGUCCAGGACUCAGCGCUGGCCUGUCUCUUCCUUCCUGGCCCCCUCUGGGGGCUGCAAAGCCAGCCCCACUCAGAGUAAAGGUCUCUGCGACUAUCCAGGCUGGAGCCUCACUUCUGUUCGCCCUAAAUUGCUUUUAUCAACUUGAGGAUGGGACAGCUCAGGCUUGCCUCUGUGGGCCACCUCCCUCUGCUGUCCCAGCGUGAUCAUGGGCACCUUUCCCCAGGUCCUCUAGUCUUGCUUAGGCAGCCAGCUGCCACCUGUGUGAGGGGUGGCUGGGCGUGCUGCCCGGAGCUGAGGAGAACCUGUCCCUGAGGAAAUGGCCCAGGCCUUCUUGUUCAGCCAGAAAUUCCAGCCUUUGAAGGAUCCGGGCGGAGAGGGGCCUUUUCUAGGCUGCUUUUCUAGAGCUGUUUUUCCAGCCUGGCAUUAGCACCCAGCCUUAAAGAAAACUUCCCUGGUCUUUAAUUGGGUUUUCUGGAAAGGUGUUGGCCUUCGCCACCUUGUAGGGAGGUUCUGUCCCCCACACCCUCCCCCCCACAAAGUUUUUGGGAAGGAAGGAUCUCUGGUUGGCUGGGAACUUGCAAUGUAGUCCCAGAUGGCCUUGAACUUCUGACUAUCCUCCUGACUCAGCCUUCCAAGGGCUGGGAUUGCAGAUAUGUGCUACCACCACCUGUUUAGGAAUACUUCUUAAAAUCAGCUUUAUUGAGGUCUACUUGCACAUAUGUAUCCAUUUGAGGCACGCUGACCAAUGAUGGAUACAUGUGUCUGUGUAGGUGCCAUGUGGAUCAAGUCAUAGAGCAUUUUUGACAUCUUACAAGUUUCCCUCAUGGCUACUGCUCGAUCACUAGGAUCCCCACUCCAGGCAACCAGGUUCACUACAGACCUGCUCAAAUGUCUCAUGUUCCUCACGGUGCACCUGCGAGUCAUCCACAACAUUGCAUGGAAAGAAAGAAAGCAACAAGAAGACUCCAUAAAAAUGGAAGUCAAAACACACGGGUCAAAGACCGAUAGGAUAAAAAGAAGAACCAAAAGUCUGCAGAAGCACCACAGAGUUCAUUUUGUGUUGGCUAACUAUACUCGGGCAUGGGGCUUGCUCCCUAGAGUUUGAUUGAUACACCCAGUGACCCUCCGCUAGGGAAAAGAAGGCAUCAAUGGCAGCCUCCUGACUGCUGGGGUAUUUGUUUCAUUUCCUAAGAAACUGUGCAACUGUUUCCAGAAGUGACUGUACCACCUACAAGUGGGAAGGGACCAUGACUGUAACAUCCCUGCCCAGAUCCUGACCUUUUCUCUGCCUGAGACCAAGCAGGGAGUUUUGGUAAGUGGUGUGGCGCUUCCAGUUGUGGGGGUGGGGGGAGCUUUUCCUGAGAAACCAUCUCUCUGCCUCCUCAGAGUCCCCGAAUGAGGUUAUGGUGGCCUAGCACAGCAGAAGAAAGCAUACACAUCUACUUAUACCCGAGUUUAAGCAGAUACGGUGUCGGCUGGAACUUCGUUAUUUCCCCUCUGCUCCCUCUUGCCACCAAGAGAGCGUUCUUAGGCAGAGCUGCUGCCGAGACAGCAGCACCACCCUGUUCCUGACUGCUGCCACCCCCACCCCACUGAAAACAAAAAACCAGGACACUCAGGGCCCGUGUUCCAAGUGUUCCUUCCCUUCAGCACAGGCUGAGAACUGGGGUUGACCACAGCCAGCUGGAGAGCUUUGUGUUAGGACUGUCAGUGUCCCAGCUCUUGCUCCCCUGUGUGACCCAUUGGUCCACCUCACUGUCAGUCACCAGGGAGCUCUGCUUCCCUAACUCAAGAUGAUGUUGCUGAUCAUAGAGAAGGGCCGAAGCCUUGGCAUGUGAUCAAACACCUUAUUAAUGGCUCAAAGGAAGGAAAGUACAGAGAAAAGGAAGAGGGUGCUGUUGAAACAAGAAUUAAGGCCCCUUUAAUUCCAGCUCUGACAAGUCUGAGGAGAGUUAAGGAAAUUUAACAGCUGGGACUGCAUACCUGCUGAGCUUGUGUUUCUCAGCACACAAACACCACAAACACAUCACACAC